CCCCUCGUCCAAGGGCAGGACGCCGGGUUUUGGUUCCGGAAACCGCGGUUCGAGCCCGUGGGGGCCCA
rnacentral:tRNA from 1 species